GCCGUAGUUCAGUGCAAGAACAUCUGCUUUGCACGCAUAAAGUCCCCAGUUCAAUCCCAGGCAUCUCCA